rnacentral:rRNA from 1 species
UGGGGAAUAUUGGACAAUGGGCGAAAGCCUGAUCCAGCCAUGCCGCGUGUGUGAAGAAGGUCUUCGGAUUGUAAAGCACUUUAAGUUGGGAGGAAGGGCAGUUACCUAAUACGUGAUUGUUUUGACGUUACCGACAGAAUAAGCACCGGCUAACUCUGUGCCAGCAGCCGCGGUAAUACAGAGGGUGCAAGCGUUAAUCGGAAUUACUGGGCGUAAAGCGCGCGUAGGUGGUUUGUUAAGUUGGAUGUGAAAUCCCCGGGCUCAACCUGGGAACUGCAUUCAAAACUGACAAGCUAGAGUAUGGUAGAGGGUGGUGGAAUUUCCUGUGUAGCGGUGAAAUGCGUAGAUAUAGGAAGGAACACCAGUGGCGAAGGCGACACCUGGACUGAUACUGACACUGAGGUGCGAAAGCGUGGGGAGCAAACAGGAUUAGAUACCCAAGUAGUCCCUGAGCGGGC